AAUGGUAAACCAAACCGCAUUACUGUUCAGUUUGCGGUGGGACUGAUCAGACUGACCAAUCCGAUCCGAUUUUCAGAACUACGGUGAAGACAAGGAAUAUUGCAAACCCUUCAAUGAAGAAGGUUCAUGCAAUUUAUGUCCACCCCAAGUCUGACUCAACAACUCAUCAAUGGCCCAAGACCAUCGCCACUAGCACCAAAUAUGAUUGGCCCAACUGGAAGUGAUCCGAGUGCAAAAAGUGGAUCAAGUGCAAAAAUAGAGGUGGAUCAAAAUUAGCAAAUGGAGGUGGAUCAAGAGUUGCACCUCAGAAAUAGUGGCAUCUAUGGUAUUCAGACCGUUGUUUGUACUGAAAUGUGACUUUGGUGUUAUGUUUAGGCCUUUAUUUUCAUGACAAGCAUAGACUUGUGUGGUUGGUUUUUUUGGAUUUCAUAUGUGACUUUGGUGUUUUGAUUUAGGCCUCUGUUUUGAUGGCAAUGGUAGAUUUGUUGUUUGAUAUUUUGUAAUGUAAAUUGUAAUUUGGUAUUUAGGUCUGUCUUGAUGAUUUCUAUUUCAGCAGGUUUUUAAUGAUAAUUUCUAAUUAUGCGUUA
rnacentral:lncRNA from 1 species